rnacentral:rRNA from 1 species
GCCGUCCCGCCGCCCCCGCCCGCCUACGGGAGGCAGCAGGUAAGAAUCUUCCGCAAUGGGCGAAAGCCUGACGGAGCGACGCCGCGUGAACGAAGAAGGCCGUGAGGUUGUAAAGUUCUUUUCGGGAGGGGGAACAACCGUGGCAGGGAAUGGCCGCGGGAUGACGUGAAUCCCGGAAUAAGCCCCGGCUAACUACGUGCCAGCAGCCGCGGUAACACGUAGGGGGCGAGCGUUGUUCGGAAUCAUUGGGCGUAAAGGGCGUGCAGGCGGUCCUGCAAGUCCGGCGUGAAAGACCCCGGCCCAACCGGGGGGACGCGCUGGAAACUGCGGGGCUUGAGUACAGGAGGGGAUGCCGGAAUUCCAGGUGUAGGGGUGAAAUCUGUAGAUAUCUGGAAGAACACCAAUGGCGAAGGCAGGCAUCUGGCCAUGUACUGACGCUGAGACGCGAAGGUGCGGGGAGCAAACAGGUUUAGAUACCUCUGGUAGUCCGCACAGUAAACGAUGUGCACCAGGUGGCGGGGGGUCGACCCUCGGUACCGUAGCUAACGCAUUGAGUGCACCGCCUGGGG